rnacentral:rRNA from 1 species
UAGAGGAAGUAAAAGUCGUAACAAGGUUUCCGUAGGUGAACCUGCGGAAGGAUCAUUACUGAAAUGUAAUAACUUCUAUUGAAAGGUUCCAGAGUAGGCGCUACAACGCCGAAAUGACCUUCUCACCCUUGUGUACUCACUAUGUUGCUUUGGCGGGUCGACCUGGUUCCGACCCAGGCGGCCGGCGCCCCCAGCCUUAACUGGCCAGGACGCCCGGCUAAGUGCCCGCCAGUAUACAAAACUCAAGAAUUCAUUUUGUGAAGUCCUGAUAUAUCAUUUAAUUGAUUAAAACUUUCAACAACGGAUCUCUUGGUUCUGGCAUCGAUGAAGAACGCAGCGAAAUGCGAUAAGUAAUGUGAAUUGCAGAAUUCAGUGAAUCAUCGAAUCUUUGAACGCACAUUGCGCCCUCUGGUAUUCCGGAGGGCAUGCCUGUUCGAGCGUCAUUUCAACCCUCAAGCUCUGCUUGGUAUUGGGCAACGUCCGCUGCCGGACGUGCCUUGAAGACCUCGGCGACGGCGUCCUAGCCUCGAGCGUAGUAGUAAAAUAUCUCGCUUUGGAGUGCUGGGCGACGGCCGCCGGACAAUCGACCUUCGGUCUAUUUUUCCAAGGUUGACCUCGGAUCAGGUAGGGAUACCCGCUGAACUUAAGCAUAUCAUA